AGCGAACGCUGGCGGCAGGCUUAACACAUGCAAGUCGAGCGGGCCCUUCGGGGUCAGCGGCGGACGGGUGAGUAACGCGUGGGAACGUGCCUUCUGGUUCGGAAUAACUCAGGGAAACUUGAGCUAAUACCGGAUACGCCCUUUUGGGGAAAGGUUUACUGCCGGAAGAUCGGCCCGCGUCUGAUUAGCUAGUUGGUGGGGUAACGGCCUACCAAGGCGACGAUCAGUAGCUGGUCUGAGAGGAUGAUCAGCCACGCUGGGACUGAGACACGGCCCAGACUCCUACGGGAGGCAGCAGUGGGGAAUAUUGGACAAUGGGCGCAAGCCUGAUCCAGCCAUGCCGCGUGAGUGAUGAAGGCCUUAGGGUUGUAAAGCUCUUUUAUCCGGGACGAUAAUGACGGUACCGGAGGAAUAAGCCCCGGCUAACUUCGUG
rnacentral:rRNA from 1 species